rnacentral:rRNA from 1 species
UACAGAGGUCUCGAGCGUUAGGCGGAAUCACUGGGCUUAAAGCGUGUGUAGGUGGAUCGGUAAGUACCUUGUGAAAUCCCACAGCUUAACUGUGGAACUGCUCGGUAUACUGCCAGUCUUGAGCCACUUAGGGGCUACCGGAACAAAUGGUGGAGCGGUGAAAUGCGUAGAUAUCAUUUGGAACGCCAAUGGUGAAAACAGGUAGCUGGGAGUGUGCUGACACUGAGACACGAAAGCCAGGGGAGCAAACGGG